rnacentral:rRNA from 1 species
ACUGAACGCUGGCGGCAGGCCUAACACAUGCAAGUCGAACGGCAGCACAGAAGAGCUUGCUCUUUGGGUGGCGAGUGGCGGACGGGUGAGUAAUGUCUGGGAAAUUGCCCGAUGGAGGGGGAUAACUACUGGAAACGGUAGCUAAUACCGCAUAACGUCGCAAGACCAAAGUGGGGGACCUUCGGGCCUCACACCAUCGGAUGUGCCCAGAUGGGAUUAGCUAGUAGGUGGGGUAAUGGCUCACCUAGGCGACGAUCCCUAGCUGGUCUGAGGGGAUGACCAGCCACACUGGAACUGAGACACGGUCCAGACUCCUACGGGAGGCAGCAGUGGGGAAUAUUGCACAAUGGGCUCAAGCCUGAUGCAGCCAUGCCGCGUGUAUGAAGAAGGCCUUCGGGUUGUAAAGUACUUUCAGCGGGGAGGAAGGCGGUGAGGUUAAUAACCUCGCCGAUUGACGUUACCCGCAGAAGAAGCACCGGCUAACUCCGUGCCAGCCGCCGCGGUAA